rnacentral:rRNA from 1 species
GCUGGCGGCAGGCCUAACACAUGCCAGUCGAGCGGAUGAAGGGAGCUUGCUCCUGGAUUCAGCGGCGGACGGGUGAGUAAUGCCUAGGAAUCUGCCUGGUAGUGGGGGAUAACGUCCGGAAACGGGCGCUAAUACCGCAUACGUCCUGAGGGAGAAAGUGGGGGAUCUUCGGACCUCACGCUAUCAGAUGAGCCUAGGUCGGAUUAGCUAGUUGGUGGGGUAAAGGCCUACCAAGGCGACGAUCCGUAACUGGUCUGAGAGGAUGAUCAGUCACACUGGAACUGAGACACGGUCCAGACUCCUACGGGAGGCAGCAGUGGGGAAUAUUGGACAAUGGGCGAAAGCCUGAUCCAGCCAUGCCGCGUGUGUGAAGAAGGUCUUCGGAUUGUAAAGCACUUUAAGUUGGGAGGAAGGGCAGUAAGUUAAUACCUUGCUGUUUUGACGUUACCAACAGAAUAAGCACCGGCUAACUUCGUG